rfam:Intoshia linei isolate Intl2013 Contig_22551, whole genome shotgun sequence.
GUCAGGAUGGCCGAGUGGUCCAAGGCGGCAGACUUAAGCUCUGCUCCACGAAUGUGGGCGUGGGUUCGAACCCCACUUCUGACA